GACGAACGCUGGCGGCGUGCUUAACACAUGCAAGUCGAACGGAGAGGCCCUGCUUUUGUGGGGUGCUCGAGUGGCGAACGGGUGAGUAACACGUGAGUAACCUGCCCUUGACUUUGGGAUAACUUCAGGAAACUGGGGCUAAUACCGGAUAGGAGCUCCUGCUGCAUGGUGGGGGUUGGAAAGUUUCGGCGGUUGGGGAUGGACUCGCGGCUUAUCAGCUUGUUGGUGGGGUAGUGGCUUACCAAGGCUUUGACGGGUAGCCGGCCUGAGAGGGUGACCGGCGACAUUGGGACUGAGAUACGGCGCAGACUCCUACGGGAGGCAGCAGUGGGGAAUAUUGCACAGUGGGCGGAAGCCUGAUGCAGCAACGCCGCGUGCGGGAUGACGGCCUUCGGGUUGUAAACCGCUUUCGCCUGUGACGAAGCGUGAGUGACGGUAAUGGGUAAAGAAGCACCGGCUAACUACGUG
rnacentral:rRNA from 1 species